UUUGUCCAGAAUCCUUUCUCAAAAGUAUGCGUGAGUGCACCAAAAACGAAUCGCCAGGAGAAAGAAAAGUAAAAGCUGACUUCCUGCGACCUCCCGCCUCCUGGGGCGGAAGAUGGAGGGGCGGGGGUCCUUCCUCCGACUCCUCAGCUUCCGAAGCGGACUCAGUGGCCUCAUCGUUGUAGAAGUGAAUGGUGGCUUGCACGGGGAAACUGGCCAGCACUUUCAUCCCGGAACUCUGCAGGUAUUCUUGACGCUUUGACAUGGCACCGGAAAUGCUGUAACCCUUUGGGUUCUGGAGGAAAUUUACUCUUAACAUCUCUGAAACCCUGGUCUGGAGAAGCAGCUCAUUUUUCCAGAUGCUGCCGUAGAGAAACUGGAGGCACAAGCGCCUGGCUCUGCCAGAAUGGAAAAGAUGUGCUUAGGAAAAAAGGAAGUAAAAGAAAGAGAAAGAAAAACAAAGUGCUAGGUAACAUUUGGAAUCCCUAAAUUCCAGGUUUUAUAGAAUUUAGGAUUUACUCAUGUGGUAGAAGAGAAAAGGGUGAGAGAAAACACCCUUCUAUAAAUAAUCAAUAAUAGUUUUUUGCUUCAUAAGAUAUUCAAUAGACCAGUGGUUCUCGACUUCCAGGGGACAUUUGGAAAUGUCUGGAGACAUUUUUUGUUGUCACAACUGAGGAGAAGCUACUGACGUUUAGUGAGUAGGGGCCAGGAAUACUGAUCAACACCCUGCAAGGCCCAGGAUAGCUCCCACUGUGAAGAAUUAUCCAGCCCAAAGUGCC